rnacentral:lncRNA from 1 species
UACUAUUAGAUAUAUAUUCUAGAAGUCAAUAUGGCUGACACAUUGUAAUUUAUCUAGAACAUAAUUUUAUAUUUAAUACAUUGAUUUGAUUAAUAAAAGAGUAAGUUUAUUUUUUAUUCAAGUGUGAUGUAUCUUUGAAUCAUCCAUAAAAUUAAUUUUUGAUAUAUAUUCUCAAAGAGUUGAGAAUUAGAGACAUGAAUUUAAUUCCUAAAUGCUUUUAGUCAUAGGAUCAUCAUGAGGAUGAUAAUCGAUCCGAAUAGACUGACGCACAGAUCGCUUCCUUCAGGAUAGAUGGAUCUCUAGUAUAUAGUGUAAAGACACUGAACAAUGAGUAUGGAUAGUUGUUAGAGAACAACUAAUACUGAGCGUGAUCAUAGGAGAGAUCAUUUAGAUUUCUACUCGAUCGUUAGUGAUCAUCUCGAUGCUGUAGUGGUGUGACUAAUCUUUUGACCUGAGAUGGCAUUGCUGCUCAUCGUGAGGCUGCUAAAGUUUGAUUGACACAUAAACAUGGAUCUCAAUGAGCCCUUAUAGUGGAUAUUGACAACAGUUGGUCCAAUGUAGGAGUAGACUGUGCAUCAAGAUGGAAUUUAUCGAUCUUGGUAGAAAAGAGCAGUCCUAUAAGAUUUGAGAGGCUAAAUCUGAGAAUUUGUGGCCAC